ensembl:lncRNA
GUUCUUAUUAACGUACCUAGGAACUGAUUCACUACUGUCUCCUUGGGAUAGCCAGUUGCACCCUCAGCCCUUGCAGACCCCUGAUGGCGCUCACCAGGCAGAGCAGCUGGAGUUGACAGAUGCCCUCAGGACAUAUGGCACUUCAUCUCUGCAACUCCCGCCAGAGGGCAGUGCAGCCCCCUCUGAGGAAGAGGCCAACAUCUCCUGGAGGUGCCCUUGCUCUGCUAGACAGGAGCUAAACGUCUUCAGAGAAUUUUCAAGACAGCCCAGAUUGCAAGUCCACUGUCUUCACUGCAAACCCUAUUUCGAGUGUCGGACAUGACUGAAGCGACUUAGCAUGCAUGCAUGCAUUGGAGAAGGAAAUGGCAACCCACUCCAGUACUCUUGCCUGGACAAUCCCGGGGACAGAGGAACCUGGUGGGCUGCUGUCCACGGGGUAGCACAGAGUCAGACACGACUGAAGCGACUUAACAGCAACAGCAGCAAACUCAAAUCAGUGUGGAUGGUGACUGCAGCCAUGAAAUUAAGAGACACUUGCUUCUUGGAAGAAAAGCUAUGACAAACAGUGUAUUAAAAAGCAGAAACAUCCCUUUGCUGACAAAUCACAAAGUGAAGAGUAGUCACAAAGUGAAAAAGCUAUAGUUUUUCCAGUAGCCAUGUAUGGAUGUAAGAGUUGGACCAUAAAGAAGGCUGAAUGCCCAAGAAUUAAUACUUUUGAACUGUGGUGUUGGAGAAGACUCUUGAGAGUCCCUUGGACAGCAAGGAGAUCAAACCAGUCAUUCCUAAAGGAAAUCUACCCUGAAUAUUCAUUCCAAGGACAGGCUGUAGCUGAAGCUCCAGCACUUUGACCACCUGAUGCAAAGAGCCAACUCAUUAGAAAAGACACUGAUGCUGGGAAGGAUUGAAGGCAGGAGGAGAAGGGGGUGACAGAGAAUGAGAUGGUUGGAUGGCAUCACCGACUGAAUGGACAUGAGUUUGAGCAAACUCCAGGAGAUAGUGGAGGACAGGGAAGCCUGGCGUGCUGUAGUCUAUGGGGUCGCAAAGAGUUGGACAUGACUGAACAACAACAACAAACCCAAACACUAACCAGGCUUUCCUGCAGGUCUCCUCCCCCUGGCUAAUCGCCUCCCAGCCCGGCAGAUGGGUGCCUUGGGCAGCAAAGACUGUUAAGUAGCAUCUCCUGAG